rnacentral:rRNA from 1 species
UGCAGUCGACGAGAGAAGAGGAGCUUGCUUUUCUGAUCUAGUGGCGGACGGGUGAGUAACACGUGAGCAAUCUGCCUUUCAGAGGGGGAUACCGAUUGGAAACGAUCGUUAAUACCGCAUAACAUAAUUGAACCGCAUGAUUUGAUUAUCAAAGAUUUAUCGCUGAAAGAUGAGCUCGCGUCUGAUUAGCUAGUUGGUAAGGUAACGGCUUACCAAGGCGACGAUCAGUAGCCGGACUGAGAGGUUGAUCGGCCACAUUGGGACUGAGACACGGCCCAGACUCCUACGGGAGGCAGCAGUGGGGAAUAUUGCACAAUGGAGGAAACUCUGAUGCAGCGAUGCCGCGUGAGGGAAGAAGGUUUUAGGAUUGUAAACCUCUGUCUUCAGGGACGAAAAAUGACGGUACCUGAGGAGGAAGCUCCGGCUAACUACGUGCCAGCAGCCGCGGUAAUACGUAGGGAGCGAGCGUUGUCCGGAAUUACUGGGUGUAAAGGGAGCGUAGGCGGGAUCGCAAGUCAGAUGUGAAAACUAUGGGCUUAACCCAUAAACUGCAUUUGAAACUGUGGUUCUUGAGUGAAGUAGAGGUAAGCGGAAUUCCUAGUGUAGCGGUGAAAUGCGUAGAUAUUAGGAGGAACAUCAGUGGCGAAGGCGGCUUACUGGGCUUUAACUGACGCUGAGGCUCGAAAGCGUGGGGGAGCAAACAGGAUUAGAUACCCUGGUAGUCCACGCCGUAAACGAUGAUUACUAGGUGUGGGGGGACUGACCCCUUCCGUGCCRCAGCAAACGCAAUAAGUAAUCCACCUGGGGAGUACGACCGCAAGGUUGAAACUCAAAGGAAUUGACGGGGGCCCGCACAAGCAGUGGAGUAUGUGGAUUAAUUCGAAGCAACGCGAAGAACCUUACCAGGUCUUGACAUCGUAUGCAUAGCUCAGAGAUGAGUGAAAUCUCUUCGGAGACAUAUAGACAGGUGGUGCAUGGUUGUCGUCAGCUCGUGUCGUGAGAUGUUGGGUUAAGUCCCGCAACGAGCGCAACCCUUACUGUUAGUUGCUACGCAAGAGCACUCUAGCAGGACUGCCGUUGACAAAACGGAGGAAGGUGGGGAUGACGUCAAAUCAUCAUGCCCCUUAUGACCUGGGCCUCACACGUACUACAAUGGCUGUAAACAGAGGGAUGCAAAGCCGCGAGGUGGAGCGAACCCCUAAAAGCAGUCUUAGUUCGGAUUGUAGGCUGCAACCCGCCUACAUGAAGUCGGAAUUGCUAGUAAUCGCAGAUCAGCAUGCUGCGGUGAAUACGUUCCCGGGCCUUGUACACACCGCCCGUCACGCCAUGGGAGUCGGUAACACCCGAAGCCUGUAGUCUAACCGCAAGGAGGACGCAG